GAGCGAAGGUGGUAGGUGUGGUAACCUAACAGGUGCCACUAGUCAGGCAAUCAAUCAGCUGGGCAUUUAAAAAAAGGGUGUCAUAGGAGGAGUUGAACGACUUUCAUUGAGCCACUAGAGGGAAGUCACACCUUGUGUAAAAGAAGUUGGAGAAGUCGGCAGUAAAGUGGACCCAACAGCAAAAGAUGAAACGGAUGGAGUUGUCAAAGAUUCAGGACGUCUGAACUGGCUACCUCUACUCAUCACCUUGACUACAUUUGUUUGUACAUUGUUUUUAGUACAUUGUACUAAAAACCAAUCUCACAGCUCACUUAGAUCACUCCAGUUGAAGGAAAGGAAGUAAAGAAAGCGGACAUCUUUGAACUAUUUAGUUGCAUUAGUUUCUCACUUACGAGAAGAUCUACAUAGUACAUGGUAGCAAAACUACAACAAUUGUCCCCUUUUGCACUCCUAUCUGUGAGCUACUAUGAUAUGUCUAGGCAUUCCAUUAAACAGCAAAUCAGAGGUUUUGAGAAAGGCCUAUGUAUAAACCAGACUAAAUAACAGAGUUUAUCUUGUUUUAGGGAGUGGAUCUCAUGACUAUCUGGAUGACUAAAUGUGACGACA